rnacentral:tRNA from 1 species
GCCCGUCUAGCUCAGUCGGUAGAGCGCAAGGCUCUUAACCCCUUGUGGUCGUGGGUUCGAGCCCCACGGUGGGCG